rnacentral:rRNA from 1 species
AACGAACGCUGGCGGCAUGCCUACACAUGCAAGUCGAACGAGACCUUCGGGUCUAGUGGCGCACGGGUUCGUAACGCAUUGGAACCUUCCCUUAGGUUCGGAAUAACUCCCCGAAAGGGGUUCUAAUACCGGAUAAUUUCUUCGGACCAAAGAUUUAUCGCCUUUGGAUGGGCCCGCGUUGGAUUAGCUAGUUGGUAGGGUAAAAGCCUACCAAGGCGACGAUCCAUAGCUGGUCUGAGAGGAUGAUCAGCCACACUGGGACUGAGACACGGCCCAGACUCCUACGGGAGGCAGCAGUGGGGAAUAUUGGACAAUGGGCGAAAGCCUGAUCCAGCAAUGCCGCGUGAGUGAUGAAGGCCUUAGGGUUGUAAAGCUCUUUUACCCGGGAUGAUAAUGACAGUACCGGGAGAAUAAGCUCCGGCUAACUCCGUG